rnacentral:lncRNA from 1 species
UGGCCUCAUAAAAUAACUUUACAUUUUAUCAUUAUUAACAAGGUGGCUCCCUAUAGAAACAUCUUUUCAUCAGAAAGCUUCUAUUAGAAAAACAUGGGAAAAAUGCUCUUAUUCUGUCUCUUCUCCUUCCCUGUUUUUUUAUUGUUAAGAAAGGAAUAUGCUUGGCAUAUAUAUGGGCCCUCCCACAAGACGAGCUGCAUGAAUGGAGACUUCUGUAUCAUAGUACAGUACAUGGCCUAAGUUUCAGUACUUUCCUGGGAACAUUUCGUGAGUGGUUUCGUGCUUAAUUAUAAAUGAGUUUUUUAUUGAGUAUUAACUUUCAAUAUCUUUGAUAUCAUUGAGAUCCUUAAAUUAGUUAUAAUUAGGUCAAAAUAUUUUCUUGGUAGUCACCUUUUUUUCAUGUUUACUUGGUGCUUGACAGAACAUUUUUCAGCUUAUUAGAUCACUGAAUAUGCUUAUACUAUUAUCUUUCAGUUUAUCCUAACAUCCACUUGCACAACUUGCUAUUAGAUGCCAUUUUCAUAGUUUUUUAUUAUAAAGAUUAAAUGCCACGAGAUCAGCUGCAGAGUUUACAUAAGUAUCCUUAGUUCAACGGACUUGAAAUUUCAAGGUAGUAUCACACACAUUUUACCAAUAGGUUCUUUUCAUUAAAGAUUCAUAACAACAUAAGUAUAUGUGCAAAGUUACAAUAUCACUAUGAGAUAUAAAUAUAUAAUAAUACAAUCAAAUUAACCUCAAACACCUCCUCAAUGAUCUAACACAUUUAGUUUCAAUAACCAAAAAUAAAUAAAUUUACCUGAUGAUGGAGGCACUGCUGCUGAGGCGACUGCAACUGGCGGCGGCGCGAGAGCUGGCGGCGGAGAGCUGGCGAUGAGCGAGAGGGUCGACAGAGAGCGAUGAGCGAGAGGGUCGACAGAGAGAGAGAAAGAGAGAGGCGGUCGACGACGAGAAAGAGAGAGACGGUCGACGAGGGCAGUGAGAAAGAGAGAGGUGGUCGACGAGGGCAGUGAGAAAGAGAGAGAGGCGCGCGGUUGACCAAAAAUUAAGAGAGCGGAAAGAAAGAGCUAUUUUAAUUUUGCCUAGGUUUUUGGUUUUGCUUAAAAGACCUCAUGAGGUCUCUAAAUUUUUAAAUAUUUUAAAUUAUUAUUUUUAAUUUAACAAGUAGAGACCUCAUGAGGUCUCUACUUGUUAAAUAAAAAAUAAUAAUUUAAUUUAAUUUAAUUGAAUAGUUAAAAAAUUAGAGACCUCAUGAGGUCUCCAAUUUUAUGAGAAUUAGAUUAAAAAUUAAUUUUUUUUAAAUAAGUCAGGUAAAAAAUAUUAUUCAUUAUAUUGACCUCACGAGGUCUCUCCUACAUUAAAAAAAAUUAAAAGAUAUUAAUUUAUAUAGCGACCUCAUGAGGUUCUUAUUAUUGACCUAUUUUUGAGGUCUCCAUUUCUAGGUCUCUUUUUGGCCUUUUUUUAGUAGUGUUUGUAAAGGGAAAAAACUAUCUACACAAUAAAUUAACAUAUAUUUCACAAUAAAACUAAAAUGUUACAUUCACAAGGUGGUAAACCCUUCUUAAAAAACAUGAAAAGAUGAUAUGUAUUGGAGAAGAAUGUUACUCUCUUAAUUAAACAUCUCGUCAAAUCUUGAGUACGAAAAAACUCCUUAGUAGGAAGUGCUCCUUCCAUAUGGAGCCUUGCUUGUUGUGACAUCAUAUAUAAUCACACUGCAAUGUAGACACCAAAUAUCAUGUAGAAAGCCAAAAAAUAUAUAAAUUAUAAGAACAAUAUGUAACUUUGCAUGACAAUCAAAGUUGAUGUUGUUCUCACCUUCACAAUAUUCCAUUAUAAUUAAUAUAAUUUCCAUAGGAAGAUCUUGUCAAAUCAUUUUAAACUUCCUGCAAAAUUAGACCGAUAUAAAGUUAGGCAUCUUUUUCAUUAAUUAUUAAAAUAGUAUCAUCAAAUCAAAUCCAAAGAAAAUUAUAAAGAGAAUGAAAAGAUAAAUGAGAAAUUACAAUAUAAAAUUAGACAUCUUUUCUAUUAACUUUUAAAAUAGUAUUAGCAAACCAUCAAAUCAAAUCCAAAUAAAAUUAUAAAGAGAAUGAAAAGAUUAAUGGAAAAUUAAAUAGUAAAGUGCCAAUUUAUAGGACUUUAAUAUUUUGAACGUUGAAAAGCGUUAAUUCAUAAUUUAAAACUAUAAGUGUUCUCACCAGUUAUUGUAAGCUUAAUUUAAGGAAACAGAUUAGAGCUAUUAAUCAAAAUUAAAAAUUAGAAAUUUAAACGUUCUAUUUCUCAAAAUUUAAAUUAAUUAAAACACUUUAUUUAAGUAAAUGGUUAAGAGCUACUGAUAUGUUCUCUUUCUCAAGAUUUAAUUAAUUAAAAUUCAUUAAUUAUUAUAGCCUUAAAUUGAGAAAAUUAAACAAUAGCUAAUUAAAAUCAUUUUACAUCUGAAAAAAGGAAAAAGAAUCCUCCAAAAUCUAAAAAAAUAAUUAAAUAGGCUUCCUAAUCAUUGAGGUAUGCCAAAUCAGCAGCCUGAACAAAAAAAGGAAAAAGAAUCCUCCAAAAUCUGAGACAAUAAACAAAUAGGCUUUCUGAUUAUUGAGAUAUGCCACAUCAGCAAGCUGAACAUCAAGCUUUAUAUUAAUACAUAGGUUUAUUGACAUAAAAUAAAAUAUUUAUAUUUAUUGAAUUAAGUGUGUAAAUAUACAAUCUUGCAAUUCAGGCACUUAGUUAUUUUUCACUAAUGAUAUAUUAUAUAGAAACUAAUUUUAAACUAUAUUGAGAAAACAUGUGAUGGGAAAACUCAGAAGUCUCCUUUCUUCUAGAUUAUUAUUUUUAAAACUGCCUUCAAGGACUGCUGUUGCUUUGGGUACACCCCGUCGGCAGAAGAAUCUAAUUUUGUGUAAGAAUUUAUUAUUUUUCUAUUAGAGAAUGUAAAAUUUGUUUUUUUGGUAGGGAUAUGAUAUAACUAUCCCAUAGACUAUUACAAAAUUUUAAUGACACAUUAAUUAAACUAAGGUCUUAUUAUCCUUUCGGUCCAUUUUAUAAAUAAUUCUACAUACUUUUUGGCUUACGUGGUAUCCAAAUAUCUCACACACGCCUCAACUAUGUGGAGUCAUGCAGUGUGCCACCACAAAGUGUACAAAAUUACAAUAAAAAGAGUUCGAGUAGGGUUAUAGGACCUUAGCUUAGUUAAAAUAUCUCAGAAAUUUUGGUCAUAGUAUAGGGGUUACUUACGCCUUGUCCUUUUGUUAUGCUAUACUAGAUGUGUCAAGUGUCACAUGGAUAACUAUAGAUGAUAGAAUGAAUGUGUCCACUAACGAUUACAUAUAUAUCCAUUUGUCUAUACUCAGAUAUUUUUGAAGAAUGUGUUACAUUAAGAAUCAAAGUUACAAGGUGACUCAAUGGAUUUACACAUCAUACAUGUGGAAAAGAAAUGCAAGAAAGCAUCUGUGAUUUUCUCACCCAUGCUUGCCCAAGUCCUUUUAAAAAAUAUGUCUUUUAAUAUUGACAUUACUAUUUCUUGCUUGGUCAAUGGCUCAAUAAAUUGAGCUUGCUGACUUCUAUUUAGGACAUGUCCAUUUCUCUUUCCCACUCAAUGAUAUUCGAAUGUAUUUAAUUCUUUCGCAGCUUGUUUCACACUCUUAAGUUGAUAUCACACCCCACACAUUGUACCAGUACUAUGUAUUUUUUUCCAAAUCCUUUGUACUGUCCUCUAGAACUUCUCAUGCUUUACUAGAUGUUUUAAAAACUUUAAUGGAUUAUGUCUUCUAUCUUCCUCCUGUGUCAAGUAACACAUAGAGGUGAGUGAUCUGAGUAUUAUGGAUCAAUUAUUUGUUCUUCCAAUGGUUGAAUGAAUAGUAGCCAUCUAGCUUUAACUAGUGCCCAAUCAAACCUACUAUAUGUGACUCCAUACAAUUUACCCACAGAAUUGCGUGUAUCUAUCAAAAAAGAGUCAAAGUCCUUAGUUUUAGCUUCAUAGGUUUUAGAACCAACCAUUUUAACCUCAAAUCUAUGGAUAACCUUAUAAUCUCUCAUAGAUAGCCAUGGCUCAUGAUGUCCCAAAUCAAUAUUCCUCAGCUUUCUCCAUAGUCUCUUUAUAUGCUCAAUGAUAUGCAAACCAUGUACUACAUAAAAGAAAAACAUGAAAUUCAGCGAUUUGAUUCUCACAUCCGAGUGGAUUAUUGAUCAUCAAUUUCCACUGGUUCACAAUCCAUGACUUGACGGUCCCAUAUUAUCACGAUACAAGGUAGACGCUGGGUGAAACAUAGCGUAAAAGACCCCAAAAAGCCUCAUACAUUCCACUGAGCACUCUUCGUACACGAAAAUAGGAAUUAUAUGAGAUUUAAAAGUGUAAAUCAAAUCAUAGAGUUUGAUAAGACGAAAUGGAAAAUUCACAAAGUCUCAAAUCCAUCUAUUACAAAGAAAUGCUUGGGACGUAACCCGUACAUCAAAUCCAAAACAUAAAACUAAAGACGAACGAAUGAAAGCUUGGUCCUCAAAAAAUGAGGAAUCUCUAAUCUUCAAAUCUCUAAUAAAGAUCCCUAGCUGUGGGAGUGCGAACCUGGAGCGUCAGACCCUACAUUUGGAUCAUAAAUGUAGGGAAGAGUAUGCAUUAGUACUAAAAUGCAAUAGAUAUGAAAGACAUGAAAAAAACAUUUAAAAGCAUUCUAAAAAUGGAAAUUUUCAUGAAAUACAAUGACCAAGCUAAAACAUGAAUUAAUAGAGUGAGAAAACAUAAAUCAUAAGUUAAACAUGGUCAUUGCACAUAACAUAUUUAAACUUUCAUAAGACACUUCAAGUAGUAACUUUAGUUCAUUAUUAUGGGAGAUUUACCUUUAACUAACAUGUGAGACCAUGUGAACUAUAAACAUGGAAUUCGGUUUAUACCCCACACCAAAAGGAGGUGUCCUACUUUACAAGGUAAGACCAUGAACUUCUAGCUAUUGUAGAUGUAACACUCCAAAAGACUAAUAUGUGUUCUAGAGCCUAACAAGAGUGUCUAAAGGUUGUUUUACUGUACUAAGGCCUAAAAUGAUGAAUAUAAAACAUUUAGAAAUCUUUAGAGUUGAAACGGCAAGGAAUGUCUACAACGUCCGGUGAACUUACUACUUAAGCUAGUGGGGUGUCUUGAUGGGUUGAAAAAAGUGUAUAAUGGUUUUUUAUUUAUCUAGCAUAGAUGAUGAGAGUAUAUAUAUAUAUAUAUAUAUAUAUAUAUAUAUAUAUAUAUAUAUAAAGUUUCAAAGUAAGUCUUAAGGAUUCUAGGCCAAGUGAGGAUUGCCAACCUUCAAGGGCAAGCCAAAGACAAGAGGCCAAGGCUGCCCAAGAAGGGAGGCUACUACCUCACUCUUCACGAGAAUGACCACGGCUAAUGGUCAGGACCACGGACAAGGUGGGGAGCUCAUGAAGGGGCCUUAGACAUGGGGUAAUAUGACAAGGUAGCCUAGCUACUGUCCAAGACACCACGAGCCACUCCACGACUCGUGGUGAACUUGACGGAGGGCAAGGGCUGCCAAGAAAAGGCCUUAGCCAAAAAGGAGGUGAGUUGGUUGGAGAUGGUGAGCUACUGCCUCAGAUCACCACGAGCCACUUGACGGGCCUUGGUGCAUAUUCAUAGAAGGGAGAAAGUGCUCAGUAUUCCUUCUUUGGGGGGAGAAAUGGAAAGGGGCUCCUUGGGGGGAGCUACUGCCUUACCACUUCACAACCACCACCAUGGUCUUUUGAGAACUUCACGGACCGUGAAGUGGGACGUGGUGAUUGGGGGGGAGGGGGGAGCUCACAGUGACGUCAAGUUGAACUUCACUUUUGGAAGUUAAAUAUAAUAAGGGUUAGUUUGGGUAUUUUGGGGGUGGACUAUAUGUUGACGUUAGGUCAAUUUCCAUUCAUUUCCACUCAAAAAACACAAACUCAACUUCAAACCCAAAUUGCUCUCACUUCUCUCUACUUUAUUUUUCUUCAUUCAUCCUCCAUUGAAGAACAAGAAGCUUGAGGAAUAUGACAAAGUCUCCAAGAUUUUCACUCAAUUUUUUGGGAUAAAUCUUCAUUAAGGGUAUGGGUUUUUUAUUCUUGGGAUUCCUUCCCCAUAUGGUUCUAAAAGUUGAAUUUCAAUUGCCCAAAUUCUUAGGGCUUUUCUCUACAAAUAAUUUUUCUAAAGUCGAAAUUGAUUAUUGAUUAUGUUGAAUUAUGAUUGCCUAUGACUAAUCUUAUGUAUAUUAUUGUGUAAUUGAUGCUAAUUGUGGGAUUUUUUUUAUAAAUCAUAUCCUUUCCCCAAUUUCUCCAAGUCCUUGUUCAUAUGUGUUAAUAGAAGGGGGAUUAUGAAUAUGUUUAUUGUUGUAACCAUCUUAUUCAAUCUAUGGGAUGCCUAGGGAAUUCUAAGGUUGAGAUUAGACCUAGUUCUUGAAGAAUUCAUGAUGAAUACUUCUCCCUCAAACCCUAGGUUAUGAAUUGAAGUUGAUUGGGAUGGUGAUGAUAUAAUUUGCUUAGUAGUGUUAGAUUACUAUUGUAUAAUGUUGCUACACCUAUUUUUGAUUGGAAUGGAUUGGUUGAUGGUAAAGCCAUGGAUGAUGGCUUAUGAAGGAGAUUGGGUAAGCCUUGCGAUCUCAACUCUUUUCUUCGAUUAUGAUUACUUGUGAUUAAGUUAUGAUGUUGCAUUGAAAUAUAUGUUAUAUCAAGAUUGAUAGGGUUGGUAUGAUGUUGAAUUGAAAUGUCUUGACUAUGGUUUGUGAGAUGUUAUCUAUGAUGUAAAUGCUAUAAUGAUGGUGAUAACUUAACAAUAUGUCUUAUCAUGAUGUGAUACGUAAAUAUGCUAACCUCACAUGUAUGAAUUAUAAUGAAAGGAAAAUACUUAUGUAAUUCUUAUUGUGCUAUGAUGGUGAUAAUUGUAUAAGGAAUAGAGCCUAUGACCUAAACUAAGUGUUGAUAGUAAUGUAUGAGUUAAAAACAUUUCAAAUGGGACAUUAGCUUAGUAACGAGAGAACUUGACAGUGGGAGGUGUUGACUUUCCAUAGAGGAAGAUUCACCCUAUAUAUAGUUUCACAUGAGGUGUUGACUCCCCUAUAAGGGAUACUCACCCUAUGGAUUCUCAUUAGAUAAGGAUCAAAUGCUAAAUGACGUGUAGAGAGUUCACACAUAUCUCCUAGUUCCUUAACUAUGUUUCCCCCAUAGGAACACUAGCUAGUGGAUCUACCUAAACAACUACAUUUAUGUUUGGUUCUAUUUUGUCCAGUAGACCACCUUCCAUUGGUGUUAGGUUUUACAACUCCGAAUUUCACACCUAGAUCUUAUGGUCUACAUCAAUUAACGAAAGUGUUCACAAAAGUUAAAAUGAAGUUAUGAAUGAACUUUAACUAGGAUGACCUAAGAGUUUAGCUUAGUCUAGGUGAGGGUAUGUGAUUCUACCUAUGCAUUGCACUAGUUAGCCUUGAGGGGAGUCUUAGGAAGAUGUUUUUAUGUUUGAAUAUGCUUAUAAAUAUAAAUGGUAUGUAUAUGAUGAUCAUACAUGUUGAUGGCACCAUAUGAUGUUGAAUUCACUUAUAAAUAUAUGUUUGGUCUCUAUAGCUUAAGUAUGAUGUUAUGUACUCUUCAUAAUAUGAUAUGUUAAGUUGGACAUUGGUUAUAAUUGUUGUUGGGCUUACAUGAUUAAGUAAGGUUAUGGAGCUUUGCUUAGUCAUUUCACUAGUGGACUCAAUAAGGGCUCAUGAGUAAUUGUCUUGCUUUUGUUAUAAUGUGAUUAACUGUUAAACAUUCUUGUUGAUGUUAUAACUUGAUGAUAGAGUUGUAUUGACUAUGUACUCAAGUAUGGUGGUGUGCAUGUGUGGCUUGAUUAGACUUAUGUUUGUUGGUCCUGGAAUGUGCAUAAGGCUGUUCAAAAUAAAAUAUCACGCUUUAAUGAAACGUACCUUUUAGCAUGAUUUCUAUGAUGUGUGUGUCUAUAUGGUCUCAUACUUAGUACAUGUGAUGUGCUAACCCCUUGUUCUCCCUUUUUCUUAAUAUUCUAGGUUUCGGUCGUUGAAGGGCUUUUGAGAUGCAUUUGAAGGAACACUUGGAAUUCUCACUCUCCAAGUUGGGUAGGUUUUCACUUUUCAAGGGCAAUGCAACUAUCAAGCUAUUGGUUUUUUCCUAGUUAUAAGACUUUUAGUUCUUCCCUUUUCAUUUGUGUACUAAAGAUUGUAUAUCCUAUAUGUGGCUUUAUUGUAAUGACGUAUGGGCUAUGUCAAUUGUUAUACUAUUGUUUAGAUGGUUAUGAGAU